rnacentral:rRNA from 1 species
UACGUAGGGUGCAAGCGUUGUCCGGAAUUAUUGGGCGUAAAGAGCGUGUAGGCGGUCAGGUAGGUCCGUUGUGAAAACUCGAGCUCAACCUCGAGACGCCGAUGGAAACCAUCUGACUAGAGUCCAGAAGAGGAGAGUGGAAUUCCUGGUGUAAGCGGUGAAAUGCGCAGAUAUCAGGAAGAACACCCGUGGCUAAGGCGGCGUCCUCUAGUACGGUACUGACGCUGAGACGCGAAGCGUGGGGAGCGAACAGG